rnacentral:rRNA from 1 species
UACGGAGGGUGCAAGCGUUAUCCGGAAUCACUGGGUUUAAAGGGUGCGUAGGCGGUCCGAUAAGUCAGCUGUGAAAUCGCUGGGCUCAACCCAUGCAAUUGCGGUUGAUACUGUCGGACUUGAAUGGGGUUGAGGCUAGCGGAAUGCGGCAUGUAGCGGUGAAAUGCUUAGAUAUGCCGCAGAACACCGAUUGCGAAGGCAGCUAGCUGGGCCUAUAUUGACGCUGAGGCACGAAAGCGUGGGGAGCAAACAGG